AGAAACACUGCCUCAGCAUUUAUACGUAUGUGCAUUUCAAACGAGGGUGCGUACAAUGCUGGAUUUGUUUCACGGCUCCUCCGUCAUUCACUCACUGAAUUAAGUACAUGCUUGAUAUUUAUAAUGUUUUAAAAUGUUAAUUGGUCUGUUUAAAAUGUAGUAACCCAUGAGUGAGGCAAGUUAGUAGCUAGCUAUGCUAACGGCUACAGCCAGUCGACCCAGCCUUUGUCCCCUUCAAAUGAGCUUAUGUGGGCUCCUGCAGCCACACGACUGUGAUUAUCGGCAUCGAGCAGCGACAGGCAGGGAGCGGUCGGUGUAGCUUUUGGCCUUUUUCUGUAAUCUCAUACACCUGGGGGGAACAGCUGAUAGCUCUCAGCCUUCGAGCGGCGGCAGGGAGGGAGUUCUGGAUCUAGCUCAAUGUAGUAAGUUUGUGCUUGAUACUUGUGAUGUCUUAAUAUGUUAGUUGGUCUUUUUAAACUGUAGUAACCCACAUGUGAGACAAGCUAAUCGCUAGCGUUGCUAACGGCUACAGUGAGUCAACCGAGCCUCUGUCCCUUUUUAAAUGUGCUACUGAGUUGGCGCAAUCACACAUUUUGCACUUUAGAGCUACAGCUGGUCGAUCGCUAUAAUAAUGUUAGUUUCAUGUGUUAUAUUAUGUUAGUUAGUGAAUGCAAUAAUGUUAGUUCUCCUUUAAAGGAGACUGAUCAUACUUUUCAUUCUAAAGAAUAUUGGACUUCAAUGUCUCUGUAAGGUCUCUGUAAAUUUUCAUUCCAUAAAACCCUUUAGAUCGUCCACACUGCAAUGUGUGUUUUUCACUCCCCAUCAGUAAAAACUCUGGUUUGUGGGUGUGUCGCAAGCGAAGCUGCUCGCCACACCCCGUGCGGAAGCACACACCUUUUAUAUUUUUGUUGUUUUUUUUAAUUGGCUUCAUGGAUAAGAGCCACCGCACGGUUAGGAUACAAUAGGUGGCAGUAGUGCAACAUUGAGAAUGCAAUCCACCGCAGUCCUCCACAGAAGAAGACCCACUACAGGACUGCACAACAAUGGCCAGCUGGUUCGUAGCGUAGUAGAACCAUGCAUCUACGAUCCCGAAUCUGACCCUGAAGCUGAUGAGGAGGCUCUUGAAGUCACCACAUUUUGGCUGAUGCAAGAUGUGUCUCAGUGUUGUUACAGGUAUCUAGUCUACAGAGGCUUAUGAGCUGAUGCUGGGGAUUCCUGGGGUGAAGAAUCUGAGUUGCCAUCUCUUCAUGCUUGGUUUGUAGAUCAAGGCAGAGUUUCUUGAUGCAUAAAACACUAAAACACUCAUUGUAUGAUGGAUGUAGACCACCCGUGGAAUAACUCAUUUACCAUUUGAGUAGAAAUGUGUUUUUUGUGUGUGCAAUACCCAUUAAGAAUUUUUUUUAUUUGAAUUUAUAUUUACAGAUGCUUUUUUAUGGCUGGUUCACCUUUAUAUCUUACCAUAUUAGAAAGAAAAAAACAUGUAAUUUCAAUACUUUGAUUUCCUAAAUAAAAGUGUUUUCCCCUCAGAAAAACA
rnacentral:lncRNA from 1 species